rnacentral:rRNA from 1 species
AUCAGCCUAAACCCGCACCAAAGCCCCGAGCGCCGUCGGAUCAGAUCCCACUCCACCACCACCACCACCACGCUCCUGCCGGCCACCGCUCCUUAUAUUCCGAGGCCGGCCGGAGACCCCCUGCUCAUUUUCCGUCUCCCCCCCUCUGCCCGCCCUCCUCCUCCUCGAGCUGAGCUCAAGGGGAAAGAACCAUGGAGCCGGCGACGAUGGCGUGGACGGCGGGGCUGGUGGGCGCCGGCCUGGUGUACUGGUUCGUGUGGGUGAUGGGCGCGGCGGAGGUGAAGGGGAAGCGGGCGGUGGAUCUCAAGAUGGGAUCCAUCACGCGGGACAAGGUGCAGGACAAGUACACGCAGUACUGGUCCUUCUUCCGCCGCCCCAAGGAGACGGCCUCCACGCAGGCCUCCGCCGACAAGGUGCCCGCCUUCGUCGACACCUUCUACAACCUCGUCACCGACAUCUACGAGUGGGGCUGGGGCCAGUCCUUCCACUUCUCGCCCUCGCUCCCCGGCCGCUCCCACCGCGACGCCACCCGCGUCCACGAGGAGCGCGUCGCCGACCUGCUGGGUGCCGAGCCGGGCCACCGCGUGCUCGACGUCGGCUGCGGCGUCGGCGGGCCCAUGCGCGCCAUCGCGGCGCACUCCGGCGCCCGCGUCGUCGGCAUCACCAUCAACGAGUACCAGGUGAACCGCGCCCGCGCGCACAACCGCAAGGCCGGCCUCGACGCGCAGUGCGAGGUGGUGUGCGGCAACUUCAUGGCCAUGCCCUUCGACGACGCCUCCUUCGACGGCGCCUACUCCAUCGAGGCCACCUGCCACGCGCCCAGGCUGCAGGACGUGUACGGGGAGGUGUACCGCGUGCUCAAGCCGGGGCGGCUCUACGUGUCCUACGAGUGGGUGACCACGCCGCUGUACCGCGCCGACGACCCGGCGCACGUGGAGGCCAUCCACGGCAUCGAGCGCGGCGACGCGCUCCCGGGGCUGCGCCGGCAGGACGAGAUCGCGUCCAUCGCGCAGGAGGUCGGGUUCGAGGUGGUGCAGGAGCUGGACCUGGCGCUGCCGCCGUCGCUGCCCUGGUGGACGCGGCUCAAGAUGGGGCGCCUCGCCUACUGGCGCAACUCGCUGGUGGUGCGCGUGCUCACCCUGCUCCGGAUCGCGCCCAAGGGCGUGGUGGAGGUGCACGAGAUGCUGUACGAGACCGCGCAGCACCUCACCCUCGGCGGCGAGACCGGCAUAUUCUCGCCCAUGCACAUGGUGGUCCUCCGCAAGCCCGCCGCCGCCGCCGAAUAGAGCGAGCGAUCGAACAAGAAGUAAUUUCAAUCAAUUUCUAAAUCAGAGGUAAGAAAAACCGGGAGGAGGAAAAACAGAGGCUUAUUAUUAGCUAAUGGAGUGCUAGUGCUAUUGAUUUGGCGUUGUAGCCGGGAGGAGAGAAUAGGAGCGGCCGAUGAUGCUUACUGUUGGUGGUAGCUUUCGUUUUCUUUUUCGAUUUUUGGGUGGAGUUGGACUGCAUGCAGGCUGGAUUCAGAUUUGUUUCUGCUUCGAUCCGUGGAUAGAUCUUCCUUCUUUUUUCUUCAUGUAAUCGUCAUCUAUAUUUUGUCUUCCGCAACUAAAUAUCGGAUGGAUAGAGUCUCUCGUUGCACACUGAAAUUGUGCAGGAAAUCAAUCAGUCUUUUAUCUGAAUCAAUCAGUCAGUUUUGAGAGCUCAUCAGUUUUCUACCCCUCGGUUCCCGUCCGUGUGUGUGUUGGGCGGUAAGAAACGACAAACAUUCCCGCGUUCCCCGUUCACUGCCGCUACAGUGCUACUCUACCUUAUCUUUCUCACCGGCCUCCACGUAUACUCCACCCAGUACCCCUGCCCAGACGCCAGAGGAAGCUCCAAAGGUUCACGAACUCCGAGCUGUAGCGCGUGGCGGCACUCGGGCGUCCCAAUGGCAGGUGGAGCCGUGAGAUCGG